UGUCCAAAGUGGGAUUCGAACCCAGGUCAUGGCUAUCGAAAAGCGACGGCUUAUACCACUGCUCCACCGAC